rnacentral:rRNA from 1 species
UACAGAGGGGGCAAGCGUUAUUCGGAAUUAUUGGGCGUAAAGGGCGCGUAGGCGGCUUUGCAAGUGGCGGGUGAAAUCCCUCGGCUUAACCGAGGAACUGCCUGCCAGACUGUGAGGCUUGAGACCGGGAGAGGUGAGUGGAAUUCCCAGUGUAGCGGUGAAAUGCGUAGAUAUUGGGAGGAACACCAGUGGCGAAGGCGGCUCACUGGACCGGAACUGACGCUGAGGCGCGAAAGCGUGGGGAGCAACAGG